ACGAAGGCGGACGUGGCAUUAAAGCAACCUACAGCGACAUGAAAAAUGCACCUAUUUUGAUUCAGGGGAAUACAAUAAAAAUCAUUUGACGCUGAGGUCAUCGCGGAUAAGGAUGUGAAACUGGAAUGUACGUAAGCUCACUCACAACAAGAUCAUCUUUCAACAAGGUACGGACGGAGGUAGAGAUAAGACUCAAUGAAAAGGACUGAGCUAUCUGGAAACGACUGGUACAUUUACAGGUGGUAGAUAGGAAAACCAGGAUAUUCUAUCAAUAGAGACUACAGCAAGCAGGUGAAGUUUAAAAAAGGCAGGUGUAUUGCAGACUCGCAAUAUUACAAAGGAAAAAAGAUGGAUACACGGACAGCUUAUUUAUUUCUUUUAGUAAUUUUUGUGAGCAGUUCUUUUGCUCAGAAUGAUACAACUGCGUCACCACAGACGACAGCGUCUGCGGGGAAUGGAACAACUACGGCGUCUCCAGCGAAUGAAACAACCACAGCGUCCGCAGAGAAUGGAACAACUACGGCGUCUCCAGUGAAUGAAACAACCACAGCGACCGCGGGGAAUGAGACUACGACGGCGUCCCCAGCGAAUGAAACAACCACGGCGUCCGCGGGAAAUGAAACAACUACAGCGUCUCCAGCGAAUGAAACAACCACGGCAUCGGCAGGGAAUGAGACUACGACGGCGUCCGCGGGGAAUGAAACAACCACGGCGUCCGCGGCGAAUGAGACAACUACGACGACGAUGGGGAACGAUACAACCACGGUGUCGCCAGGGAAUGACACAACCACGGCUCAAGCGGGGAAUGAAAGCACAACUAACGCUUCGACCUCUGAACUGCCGCCCACCACAACGGCCAUGCCAGAGAGAAACGUCGUUACCACCCCUCUAGGAAAGAUUCGCGGGAAGUUUGUGUCGCUCACUAUCAACUGGAAUGGAACAGAUACAAAUAUCCUUGGUGAAGAAUUUUUGGGUGUUAGAUAUGCCAGAACGCCAACUAGAUUCGCUGAGCCCCAAACUUUAGCCUCAUGGACGGAUAUCCAAGACGCUCUGGCAUAUGGCGCUAAUUGUCCCCAAAACAGAGACACGUAUGGCACUGUCACUACCGCAAGUCCUAUCAGCGAGUCUGAAGACUGCUUAUUUUUGAACAUUUUUGUUCCUAGCGGCGGGGUAGAAGCGUUAAAAGCAAUGAACGAAACUCUACCAGUGGUAGUGUAUCUCCAAAGUGGAGGCUACGACACCAUGCCAGCCACUUUGUAUAGUGGCAUUGUUCUUGCAGACUCUGGAAACACGAUUGUCGUAACCGUGAAUUACCGCGUGGGAGUUCUUGGUUUCCUGGCAUUGAAAAACGCUGCAGGUAGCAUUAUAGGAAACAACGGACUAAGAGACCAAUCCCUAGCCUUGGCUUGGAUUAGAGAUAAUAUUGCAAGUUUUGCUGGGGAUCCUACAAAUGUGACUCUGGUUGGGGAUUACAAAGGGGGUGCUAGUGUGGGGUUACACAUGGUUUCCUCUCAAAGUAGGGGCCUUUUCCACAGAGCAAUUUCUAUGAGCGGGGCCGUCACUGCCCCAUGGGCUUAUGCGACCACGACCACUGCUGGCGAGGAGUUCCUCCAGAGAGCAGAUUGUAAUAGAGAGAAUUACGAUACCUCCUUGGCUUGUUUGAGAGGGAAAAGUUUAAUGGAUAUUCUGAAAUACGAGAGGGAUCCCUCUUCACAGAUGAACCUUCACAGACCAGUUGUGGAUGGGACCAUUCUCGUGAAAUCUCCCGCGGAAUUGCUUCGUGACGGCGUUGCUAAGGACAUUCCAUACGUCAUAGGAUAUGGUGAAAGCGACGGUUCUUUUAUGUUGAAAUAUGUGACGGACGAAGUAGUGGAUGGAAACGUUACAAAUUAUAUGUAUAACCUUACCAAACUGAAACAAAUUCUAUCAGAUACAUAUUCUGAAUAUCUAGGUCUAAGUCAAAGUGUAAGAGCAACUGUUGAGAGUACUCUCUUCCAGUAUGACGUGGGGCCGGAGACAGACAAUGAUGAUUUAGGAACAGGAAUUGUGAAACUAUUUACAGACUUUUUCUUUAAGGCACCAACUGAGAUGACAACAGACCUAUAUUCAAAAAGUAAUGGGACGUCAGUUUUCCUGUAUAAUUUUGCCUACAGAUCUACAACACUUAACCCAACCAAGAAGUCCUUUCUCACCGCAGAAUUGCCAGAUCUACCAUAUUUUUUGUUCGGCGGAGGUUUAAUGUCAUCAGACACUUUACAAAAUCGAUCUCACAUUAUUGUUCGCCGAGCAGCUGCUUCGUCAGAUGAAAGUGACGAACAGAUUUCCCAGAACGUUAUGGGGUAUUGGUCAAAUUUUGCAGAAACAGGAAACCCCAAUACCGGUUCAAGGGAGCAGUAUACUGCAGCAAACUGGCCGAGUUAUGACAGUACAAAUAACAGCUAUCUCAAUCUUCAAGAAACACCAACCGACGCAAGAGUUGACAUGAACAACAGAAACGUACAGUUCUGGAAUAGAUAUGUCUCAACUGUUAAGCAAAAUGAACCCACCCCGACCACACCCACUACGGCUGCACCGACAGGGUUGGAUAUAGGUGCUUGCAGGCGAUACUAUGCUGCGAAGAUAGGGCCAGAGGUGUCUCCAGAGACGGCAGCCGGGGUGAUGUGGGGGAUGUUAGCUGCUGCAUUGUUAUUCUUUCUUGUGGCUGUUAUACUUGCUAUAUGCUUGUGCAAAGCACGUGGGUCCUGCGACGAGUACAUGUACGGAGAAUCGUAUCAGAUCUCUCAAAACGGAAAUCAUUAUUCUAGAACCACGUAUGACAACAAAGGAUACCAGAUGGCGGAGAGCUAGAAUACAGAGACAUUAUUUACUCUUUGACCAAAUAUGUAUCAAAUAGGUAAUUUUGACUUGAAAUAUAUAUAUAUUAGUAGUAUUAGAGAAACAUCGUAGAGGCCGACUUUGUUGAACUCUUUGGUAGGCCUACUUUGAUGUGUUUCGCAUAAUUCUAGACAGCUGGUUACAUUACUGAUAUGUAUACUAUGUAAGACCGAGGUGCAAGCAUACGUUUAUUAUCUAUAGGCCUUGUAGGAUAUAUUUGUGCUUCUAGUUGUCAGUUUUUUUGUACGUUUUCCUUUCCAUCUUAUUUGUAAGAUACAUUUGUAUAUGUUUCUUAUUUGCUUUAUAAUUUAAAGGAUUAAACAAAAUAUAUAUAAAACAUUUAUUUAUGAUAUACUGGCUAGGGCAUUUAUGAACAGAUUGGAAUCGCUUGUACAUGUAACUGGUCACUUUUUAACCCUUCUGACAUUCUUUGCCGCAAUUUUGAAGCGAUCUACUUAUUUUAAGAAUAUUCCACUUUCAUUAAAGCUCGAAACUGAGCAACAGAACAAUGACAGUGAGGAUAGCAUGAACUAAAUGUCAUGUUUCAAUUAGUAUCAACACUGAGUAGGCACAAUAUAACAAACGUUAUGUUUUUCAAUUAGCACCAACACUGGGUGGGCACAUUAUAACAAAUUUUCCAGCUGUUGAUAAAUUUGAAUGUUUCCAAUGUUCAUUGUAAGUUGUACAAUGGAAGUUGUGCCGAUUGGGAACAAAAUCUAACCGUCAGUUGUUUCUUCUCUUACUAACUUCGUGAUACGUGUGGUGUAUAUUGUAAUGUGCUGAAAAUGCAGAAGCCACUAAAGCGCCCUUGGCAUCCACAUGAACUCUGCAUUUAAAUUAAUCACACCGUUUUAUCAGUCCUUAUGAAGUGCUCAUCUUACGCUUCUAAGUAAUUGUCACAAUAACGGUAUAGUUAUAGAAACGUAAUAUCUGCCCAGGAUGAUAUUGCUCAUAAA
rnacentral:misc_RNA from 1 species